GUGUUUGAAACCACUGAGUCAAAAUGAAUCAUGAGUGCUACAGCAUUUAAUGUUUUGAGGAAGAGAUUGGCAGAAGGCAGCUUCCAGAGAAUAUCACAGCCUUUUCUCUUUGGAUGAGAAGUAAGGAAAGCAGCAGAAGGAAUGACAGAGCUCAGCUUUGAAGAUACAGAGGCCAAGUAUUUCUCUCAAAGGUUAAGUGUAGUUUCUUAUGAGAUUUGGCACAAAAGAGGAGGAAGAACAGAGGAAGAGCAAGAGGAACCAGAUUUCUACCCUAAACAACUACAUGUUCUCAGAAAAUGUCUCUGUUUCAACCAUGGCUUUUCAGAUGGUUUCCUUAAGCCCUGAUUUAUUACUCCAAGUUCAAAAACCGUGCCUAGCCUGAAGAUGCUUGAGAAAUGCACUCCCUCUCUCCAUCGAUCCAAGCAGUUGGUGUCUGAUGCAAACUGCUCUGGGUAAAUGCGAACCAGAUGUUCCCUGAUUCUGACAUGUGACCCAUCCCUCACACCCUCCGCCAGCGCAUGUUGGUCAGAGAGCUGCAGAGCAGCACAGGGCAGCCUCAUUUAGCAUGCUGCUCCGGAUCCUGCUCAUCCCACACUGGAAAGAGUGCCCUGACUCCAGAAAGCAUUGUCAAUAAGCAGUGCUGAGCACAGUCAAAUGGAUGUGUGGUGAACAAACACGCCAAUCAUCUGUGGGAUCUAACAGAGGUACCAAGCUGGCAUCUGCUAAUGCCUGCAAUCCCUCUGCGCCAGCUCUGCCCGCAAGCACCCUGCAGGGAGUCCGUGCUGCUGCACAAGGCAGGUCAGCCCAGCCAAGAGGUCUGAGAUAGGGAAAUCUGGAGUCAGAUCGUGUUUCUCAGCUGUUAAUAAAAUUUCCCCUGGAAUAAAAGCA
rnacentral:lncRNA from 1 species